UGAGUAAUGUAUGAGCAACCUGCCUUCAGAGGGGGACAACAGUUGGAAACGACUGCUAAUACCGCAUAAUGUAUUGAGGAGGCAUCUCCACGAUACCAAAGGAGCAAUCCGCUGAAAGAGUGGGCUCAUAUCUGAUUAGUUAGUUGGCAGGGUAACGGCCUACCAAGACUGCGAUCAGUAGCCGGACUGAGAGGUUGAACGGCCACAUUGGGACUGAGAUACGGCCCAGACUCCUACGGGAGGCAGCAGGUGGGGAAUAGUUGGGCAAGUGGGCGAAAGCCUGACCCAAGCAACGCCGCGUGAAGGAAGAAGGUCUUCGGAUUGUAAACUUCUUUAUGAGGGACGAAGGACGUGACGGUACCUCAUGAAUAAGCCACGGCUAACUACGUGCCAGCAGCUGC
rnacentral:rRNA from 1 species